rnacentral:rRNA from 1 species
CAUCCUCCAAGGCUAAAUACUCCUGACUGACCGAUAGUGAACCAGUACCGUGAGGGAAAGGCGAAAAGAACCCCGGCGAGGGGAGUGAAAAAGAACCUGAAACCGUGUACGUACAAGCAGUGGGAGCCCCACCACCAAAGCAUUCUCUGGUGUUGAAGGCCCUGCAAAGCAGCAUCGCGGUGGCGGAGCGUCGUUUGCGACGCCCAACACACAAAACAAGCGGUGAGUGCUUUGGGGUGGGGUGACUGCGUACCUUUUGUAUAAUGGGUCAGCGACUUAUAUUCUGUAGCAAGGUUAACCGUAUAGGGGAGCCGGAGGGAAACCGAGUCUUAACCGGGCGUUAAGUUGCAGGGUAUAGACCCGAAACC